UCCAGGGUGUGCUAGUGGACAUGGCAUCUGCCCGGUAAGCGGAACACUGUGGAUUCGAUUCCCAUCCCUGGAC
rnacentral:tRNA from 1 species